rnacentral:rRNA from 1 species
AACGAACGCUGGCGGCAUGCCUAACACAUGCAAGUCGAUCGAUUGCCUUCGGGUGAUAGUGGCGCACGGGUGCGUAACGCGUGGGAAUCUGCCCUUAGGUUCGGAAUAACAGCUGGAAACGGCUGCUAAUGCCGGAUGAUAUCGCGAGAUCAAAGAUUUAUCGCCUGAGGAUGAGCCCGCGUUGGAUUAGGUAGUUGGUGGGGUAAAGGCCUACCAAGCCGACGAUCCAUAGCUGGUCUGAGAGGAUGAUCAGCCACACUGGGACUGAGACACGGCCCAGACUCCUACGGGAGGCAGCAGUGGGGAAUAUUGGACAAUGGGCGCAAGCCUGAUCCAGCAAUGCCGCGUGAGUGAUGAAGGCCCUAGGGUUGUAAAGCUCUUUUACCCGGGAAGAUAAUGACUGUACCGGGAGAAUAAGCCCCGGCUAACUCCGUG